rnacentral:rRNA from 1 species
CCUAUGAUCUCAAAUCAGGUGGGACUACCCGCUGAACUUAAGCAUAUCAAUAAGCGGAAGGAA